UUGAGGGGGUGUGUUUCCGGCUUUUAGAAGAGGUGGGCGGAUUUGGCGGGUGCGAGGUCACCCACCAGAUGUGUAACCUGCUGUCUGCUGAAGCGAACCUCUGAGUUGAAAUGAGACAUGGUGAAAAAAGGUCCCCAGGGAGCAAAUCUGAAAGCCGGCUUCUCCAGAACAUAGACUGCCAGGGGGCGAGACGACUUUAGACACCGUCCCCAGCAGAUUGAUAGAUGAAGCAUAAAACAAGACCAGAUGCUGUGGUUUCCAGGAUGCACUUGGCUUCCCAUCCCUUAUAACCUGGAGCAUUUUUUGCUAGACAAAAGGCAAAUGUUAAGACUUCCCUGGCGGUCCAGUGGUUGGGAACCUGCGUGCCAGUGCAGGGAACACAGGUUCAGUCUUUGGUCUGGGAAGAUUGCCGCACAUGCCGUGGGGCAGCGAAGCCGAUGCACCGCAACUAUUGAAUUCCACGCACCUGGAGCUAGUGCUCUACGACAGGAGAAGCCACUACAGUGAGAAGCCUGCACACCGCAAAGAGAGAGGAAGCCCCACUCGCUGCAAGGAAGAGCCAGCGCAGCCAAAAAUAAAUAAAUAAUUUUAAAAGAGAAAUGUUAGAAAAUGAUAAUUUUGUUAGAACUUGGUGGAAAGAAAAGUUAGCCUCUUGAAUAAAAUUAGGAGUCCACAUUCUGGGGAAUUUGGUUAUUUUUGUGGUGUAACUGAGGAAAAGAUACAUUACUAUGUUUGCUUUAUGAUUAAAAAGGCCUCAGAGACCUUUUUUUCUUCUUUCCUUCAGGGCACAGAUUAUUAACUAAUCUGCUCUGUUAAUGUUCCCUUUGGGAAACAAAAUGGAAAUAGUGAUUAAGGUCUUUGCUGAUAAUGUUCCAACCAAAGUAUAGAAAGAAAGGUUUAUAUAAUGUGACAUGGUAACAACAUAUAUGGGUGAUAUUAUUAUCUGAGGAUUGUACUAUAUCCAGCUGGUAAGUUAUAUUUGUAUGUUUAAGUAUAUAUUUGAGACCAUGUGCAGUCUUUUAGUCACUGAGUUUAUAAAUACUUAACUGAGAGUCUAUCUGAUACAUAAAAAAAAACUACACUAGGCAUUGUGAGAAGUACAGAGAUUUACACCUUUGUAUAAAGAAUUGUUUUUUUAACCUCCAAGAAACUCCAGUGGGAAAUGGGACAUUGAACCAAAGACUGAGGUGCAGUUAGGAGUUGACAGUGCUUCAACUAGAGAGACUAGAGGUAUACUGUACCUUCUGACAACUGUCAAAUGAGGCUGAUUCUUGAGAAGCCCUGUGACUUUGCUCUUCGUAGAGUUCAACUGGGCCUGUCUUCAUAGAAGACAUUUUUCAGGAAGCUAUUCUAGUCCAUGGAGGAGGUGACAUCUCCUGAACCUGGUCCCCACAGAGAAUUUUGAAUGGGAGGAAAAGGAGAUGGUGUGUAUUCUUGCUUAUGUCAUAAUGUUGGACACAUGACUUAAGAAUGUGGCAGGUCAAUGUGACUGGAUCAUUUCAUUACCGCACUUUAGAGUGACUCAGAGGCAAAUGCAGCUUGUUUAAACUCUUAACUGAAGCAUUGGUAUGAUGUAAGAUUAUAGCAGUAAAAGAUAUAAAAUGACUACUUAUUGGGGACAUCCUGAAGGACCGGGGGAAUCCUUAUUUUCUUAUCAUCUCUCAUCUUGCAGUUGUUGAUAGUAAUUCAUCAUAUCUCAAAUAACAGGGAAGGCAUCAGAGGUAGCAAUAAGGAGAAUACAACCAAAUAACAUAUAGGAUCUAAACUCAAUAAAAACAGCAAUAGUGAUCACUUAUAUAGUGUUUACUAUGUGCCAGACUUGUUCUAGGUAAUAUAUGCAUAUAUCCUCACCUAAUUCUCAUAACAACCCUGUGAAGUAGGUACUGUGUUUUGUUUUUUUUUAAUGAUUUAUUUUUGGCUGUGCUGGGUCUUCAUUGCUGCAUGGGCUUUUCUCUAGUUGUGACGACUGAGGACUACUCUUCAUUGCGGUGCCAGGGCUUCUCAUUGUGGUGGCUGCUCUUAUUGUGGAGCACAGGGUUUAGGGCAUGUGGGCUUCAGUAGUUGUGGCUGUACUGUGCUUGCCCCGUCGUGUCUGACUCUUUGCAACCCCAUACACUGUAGCCCACCAGGCUCCUCUGUCCAUGGGGAUUCUCCAGGCAAGAAUACUGGAGUGGGUUGCCAUGCCCUCCUCCAGGGGAUCUUCCUGACCCAGGGAUUGAACCCUCAUCUCUUAUGUCUCCUGCAUUAGCAAUUGAGUUCUUUACCAUUAGCGCCACCUGGGAAGCCCAAGUGUAAUUGUGGCACUUGGGCUCAAUAGUUGUGGUUCCCAGGCUCUAGAGCACAGUCUCAAUAGUUACAGCCCACAGGCUUAGUUGUUCUGCAGCACGUGCGAUCUUCCUGGACCAGCGAUCAAACCCAUGUCUCCUGCAUUGGCAGGUGGGUUCUUUACCACUGAGCCACCAGGGAGGCCCUGAGGUAGGUACUAUUAUUAUCCCCAUUUUACAGAUGAGGACGUGGGGAUAUGAGAGAUUAUGUAGCUCCCUGAAGAUCCCACAACUGUUAAGUGGCAGGGUAAUAUUUGAGAGCAGACAGUCUGACUCCAGAAACGGUGCUUUUAACCUCCAUGCUAACUAACCUUUCAAGGAAUUUAUAAUCUCAGUAUACAGAGUUCAGUACCUCCCUUUCAGGGUAAGGCAGUGAGGAAUGGUAUAUGCUGCUGCUAAGUCACUUCAGUCGUGUCCGACUCUGUGCGACCCAUAGAUGGCAGCCCACCAGGCUCCCCAUCCCUGGGAUUCUCCAGGCAAGAACACUGGAGUGGGUUGCCAUUUCCUUCUCCAAUGCAUGAAAGUGAAAAGUGAAAGUGAAGUCGCUCAGUCGUGUCUGACUCUUAGCGACCCCAUGGACUGCAGCCUUCCAGGCUCCUCUGUCCAUGGGAUUUUCCAGGCAAGAGUACUGGAGUGGGGUGCCAUCGCCUUCUCCAGGGAUGGUGUAUAGGGAAGCAAAAUUGACUCAGAUUAUGUGUUUCCUAUAAACUAACACCAAGGGUGUCUGACUCAAGAAAUGUUUUCUAGUUUGUGCUCCAGAGAGAAUGGAGUUAUUCUCUCCAUUUAAUACUCUCCAGAGAGUAUUAAAUGCAGCAGAAUGUUGGAUAUGUUUACCAGUGGAUAUCCAUUUAGUUUCAUUUUAUGGCCACAGCUACAAUCCUGCAUCUUCCUUUCAUAUAUGCAUUAUGAGGAU
rnacentral:lncRNA from 1 species